GUGUUAAAUUUCACAUCCCAUCAAAAAAGCUAAUUUGCACAUAAUUUGCCUGCGCGAUCGAACUAAUUUCGAUAAUUAAAAGUGUGCUUUCUAUCAACAGGCUAUCACGAUCUCCUAAAUACCACACCUCCAAUGUAAUAUCACCACUGCCAGUCUCGAAAAGUGGAAAAGUUUAGAGGCUCAGGUGCAGGAUUCGUCGAAGGACUUGUACUGGUUCUAGGACAGAAACUUGUGGUUUACGUGUAAAUAUAGUUUAAAUUCGUUGAGAAAAAAAGUACAAACUGUGAAGACUUGUUGUUUAAAUAAAAUAUGUGCCCAAUGGACGCGCGAUGAAAACGCGUUCGUUCCUCCAGUUUUUGAACCACGCUUCUGAAUCCGAAUUCAAGAAGAUUCAGGCGAAUGGACGUAGAAGAUGGAGAAGAAGAGGGAGACGAGAAGUUUCCGCUCUUAUUGUUACUACAUAUAUACAUAAAUAAUUAAUAUACAUACGUUGGCAAGUGAUAUGUUUUUAGAGCCAAUAAUGAAAAAUAAAAUUAUUUAAAGAAUUUUGAAACGAGUGGUAAAUAAAAAACGAAUCGAACCCGUUUAAGGAGACGAUAUUAAACAAUGCGGAUUAUUUAAUAAGAUAUGUAUAAAUGUGUAUUAUUACUGACUAAUUGAUUUAAUAACUAUUGUAAUUAUACCGAAAAGCAUUGUCCGUGCAAUAAAGUAGCUGCUAUUGACAGAAAAGAA